AAUACCGGAUAACGCAUCGAACCGCAUGGUUCGAUGAUCAAAGAUGGCUUCUAGCUAUCACUCACAGAUGGGCCCGCGGCGCAUUAGUUAGUUGGUGAGGUAACGGCUCACCAAGGCGACGAUGCGUAGCCGACCUGAGAGGGUGAUCGGCCACACUGGGACUGAGACACGGCCCAGACUCCUACGGGAGGCAGCAGUAGGGAAUCAUCCGCAAUGGACGCAAGUCUGACGGUGCAACGCCGCGUGAGCGAUGAAGGUCUUCGGAUCGUAAAGCUCUGUUGUGAGGGAAGAACAAGUGCCGUUCGAAUAGGGCGGCACCUUGACGGUACCUCACCAGAAAGCCCCGGCUAACUACGUGCCAGCAGCCGCGGUAAUACGUAGGGGGCAAGCGUUGUCCGGAAUUAUUGGGCGUAAAGCGCGCGCAGGCGGUUCCUUAAGUCUGAUGUGAAAGGCCACAGCUCAACUGUGGAGGGCCAUUGGAAACUGGGGAACUUGAGGACAGAAGAGGAGAGCGGAAUUCCACGUGUAGCGGUGAAAUGCGUAGAUAUGUGGAGGAACACCAGUGGCGAAGGCGGCUCUCUGGUCUGUAACUGACGCUGAGGCGCGAAAGCAUGGGUAGCGAACAGGAUUAGAUACCCUGGUAGUCCAUGCCGUAAACGUUGAGUGCUAGGUGUUAGGGGGUCCAACCCUUAGUGCUGCAGUUAACGCAAUAAGCACUCCGCCUGGGGAGUACGGCCGCAAGGCUGAAACUCAAAGGAAUUGACGGGGGCCUGCACAAGCGGUGGAGCAUGUGGUUUAAUUCGACGCAACGCGAAGAACCUUACCAGGUCUUGACAUCUUCGGACAGCCCAAGAGAUUGGGUCUUCCCUUCGGGGACCGAAUGACAGGUGGUGCAUGGUUGUCGUCAGCUCGUGUCGUGAGAUGUUGGGUUAAGUCCCGUAACGAGCGCAACCCCUGAUCUUAGUUGCCAGCAUUGAGUUGGGCACUCUAGGAUGACUGCCGGUGACAAACCGGAGGAAGGCGGGGAUGACGUCAAAUCAUCAUGCCCCUUAUGACCUGGGCUACACACGUGCUACAAUGGAUGGUACAAAGGGAAGCCAAACCGCGAGGUCGAGCUAAUCCCAUAAAGCCAUUCUCAGUUCGGAUUGUAGGCUGCAACUCGCCUGCAUGAAGCCGGAAUCGCUAGUAAUCGCGGAUCAGAAUGCCGCGGUGAAU
rnacentral:rRNA from 1 species